rnacentral:rRNA from 1 species
AUUGAACGCUGGCGGCAGGCUUAACACAUGCAAGUCGAACGAGUGGCGGACGGGUGAGUAAUGCUUGGGCAUCUAGCUUAUGGAGGGGGAUAACUACGGGAAACUAUAGCCACUACCGCGUUGCAUAGGAUGAGCCCAAGUGGGAUUAGGUAGUUGGUGAGGUAAAGGCUCACCAGGCCUACGAUCUCUAGCUGGUCUGAGAGGAUGACCAGCCACACUGGGACGGAGACACGGACCAGACUCCUACGUGAGGCAGCAGUGGGGAAUAUUGGGCAAUGGGGGAAACCUGAGGCAGCCAUGCCGCGUGUAUGAAGAAGGCCUUCGGGUUGUAAAGUACUUUCAGUCGGGAGGCGUUACCGACAGAAGAAGCACCGGCUAACUCCGUGCCAGCAGCCGCGGUAAUAC